AAUUUAUUUAUGAAAAAAAUCAAUUGAAAUUGAGAUUUAUAGAGUAAAAACUCUUUUUUAUAUUUUCAAAAUAUAUACUUGGUAUAGUUAAUAAAUCUAUGUAAAUAUUAAUAAAAAGAUGAAAAAGUAUAGUGAAGUAGUAAUUUUUCUUAUUAUGUCAUAAGGAUAUUCAAUGGGUAUAGCUCCUAAAAAAGUUAAUAAUAUAAAAAGGUGAAAUUUUUAAAUUAUUAAUUUAUUUAUUGAUUUUUAAAAAAUCUAAAAAGAGACUAGGAUUAGAUACCCUAUUAUUUAGAAAUAAAAUAUUGUUAGUAAGUAAUUAUUAUGAAAACAAAAAAUUAUGGCGGUAUUUCAAGCUUUUCAGAGGAAUUUGCUCUAUAAUGGAUAAAACACCUGAAUCUUACUAAAAUUAGUUAUAAUCAGUUUGUAUACCACUAUUAAUAAUAAUAAGUAAUAUUUAUUAUUUUAAUUUAAAAAAAAAAAUUUUUUUUUUUAAAUAAGUUAAGUCAUGGUGCAGCAAAAAUUUUUAGAAUGAAGUGAAUUACAAUUCUUUUAAGAUAAUUAAAGUUAAAUUAAUUUUAGGAUUUGAAAGUAAAAAUUCAAUAGUAUGGUAUUUUGAAUUAAGUUCUGAAAUAUGUACAUAUCGCCCGUCGCUCUUUAUUGAAGAUAAGUCGUAACAAAGUUAAAAUACUGGAAAGUGUUUU
rnacentral:rRNA from 1 species